rnacentral:rRNA from 1 species
CUACGCACUCCUACGGGAGGCAGCAGUGGGGAAUAUUGCACAAUGGGCGCAAGCCUGAUGCAGCCAUGCCGCGUGUAUGAAGAAGGCCUUCGGGUUGUAAAGUACUUUCAGCAGUGAGGAAGGUGGAUAUGUUAAUAGCAUAUUCAUUUGACGUUAGCUGCAGAAGAAGCACCGGCUAACUCCGUGCCAGCAGCCGCGGUAAUACGGAGGGUGCGAGCGUUAAUCGGAAUUACUGGGCGUAAAGCGCAUGCAGGUGGUUUGUUAAGUCAGAUGUGAAAGCCCGGGGCUCAACCUCGGAAUUGCAUUGAAACUGGCAAACUAGAGUACUGUAGAGGGGGUAGAAUUUCAGGUGUAGCGGUGAAAAUGCGUAGAGAUCUGAAGGAAUACCGGUGGCGAAGGCGGCCCCCUGGACAGAUACUGACACUCAGAUGCGAAAGCGUGGGGAGCAAACAGGAUUAGAUACCCUGGUAG